rnacentral:misc_RNA from 1 species
GCCUUUCUACACCUCGCGCCUUGCUGCUCCUUGGUGAGGUGCCAUGCCUCUCCUUCCGUCAGGUGACGCCACCUGCGCCUAGUGCACCUUGCGCCUAAGGCGUGCCUCAUAACAGUGGGCCCAUCUAACUUGGGUUUAGCUCUGCACAUGCGCUCAGGGUCUAGUUCUUUGACUAGCUCAUGGGUCUACAUAAAUCUAGCUCAUCUUUGGCUUAGCUCACACGUCUAGCUCCCUUUUAGGCUCAACUCGCCAUGCUUUCAGGUCCUGGAUCUAUGGUUGUUGGGUCUCACGGCUCUAAUACCAAGUUGUAAAUCAUGGAUCCAUGAGUGUGGAUCAAUAAACAAGCAGCCUCCAUGCUAAACUAACCUUGAAACUAAGCCCUCAAUCAUCAAAAUGGCCUAGGACAUUUUGGUUGGGUUUAAUAAUGCUUAUAUGCCCUUUAUAAUUCUCA